UGCACCACUGAGCUAAACUCUGUCUUGUUCGUAGGAUGUGACAAGGCUCUGUUCUCAAGAUGACUCAUAAUUGAAGAUUGCAGCUCCAGCUCCAACUUUACGCUCAUAUACCAACUGGAAUGAAAUCUGAAUGGCAAAUAGACUCGAGGGAUCUCAGUG
rnacentral:lncRNA from 1 species